CCUACGGGAGGCAGCAGUAGGGAAUAUUGGACAAUGGGGGAAACCCUGAUCCAGCGACGCCGCGUGAGUGAAGAAGUAUUUCGGUACGUAAAGCUCUAUCAGCAGGGAAGAAAAUGACGGUACCUGACUAAGAAGCACCGGCUAAAUACGUGCCAGCAGCCGCGGUAAU
rnacentral:rRNA from 1 species